UUUGUAGGCCUUCCAGGUCUAUGUUGCUUUUUCAUUUACCCCAAUGUAUGUUAAUAGAAAUGUUGUGCAUAUAAAAAUCUAUACAACUUUCAGCAACGGAUCUCUUGGCUCUCGCAUCGAUGAAGAACGCAGCGAAAUGCGAUAAGUAAUGUGAAUUGCAGAAUUCAGUGAAUCAUCGAAUCUUUGAACGCACCUUGCGCUCCUUGGUAUUCCGAGGAGCAUGCCUGUUUGAGUGUCAUUAAUAUAUAUCAAUCUUCUCAUUUAUGAGUGGUUUGGAUGUGGGGGUUUGCUGGCUUCUUAAAUGAGUUCAGCUCCUCUGAAAUGCAUUAGCAGAACAACCUUGUUCAUUGGCGUGAUAACUAUCUACGCUAUUGAAUGUGAGGGAUGGUUCAGCUUUCUAACAGUCCUUGGACAACUUAUCAUUUAUGUGACCUCAA
rnacentral:rRNA from 1 species